AGGGUAGAGGUGCAAAAACCAUAAGUACUCGUGUUGAAGAGAAUGAGCUCUGACGAUACAGGAGGAAAGGGGAAUUUGCCGAAGCUGAUGGUGACUCAUUAUCCGGAAGCUGGUGCUGUCAUUCAAUAGAUGCAGGACUGUCAUAUAGGUAACUAUAUGGAGGGCUAUCA
rnacentral:ncRNA from 1 species